UAAGGAAUAUUGCGCAAUGGGCGAAAGCCUGACGCAGCGACGCCGCGUGGGGGAUGAAGGUCUUCGGAUUGUAAACCCCUUUCGGGAGGGAAGAUGGGAUGGGGUAACCCAUUCGGACGGUACCUCCAGAAGCAGCCACGGCUAACUUCGUGCCAGCAGCCGCGGUAAUACGAAGGUGGCAAGCGUUGUUCGGAUUUACUGGGCGUACAGGGAGCGUAGGCGGUUAGGUAAGCCCUCCGUGAAAUCUCCAGGCUUAACCUGGAAAGUGCAGAGGGGACUGCUUGGCUAGAGGAUGGGAGAGGAGCGCGGAAUUCCCGGUGUAGCGGUGAAAUGCGUAGAGAUCGGGAGGAAGGCCGGUGGCGAAGGCGGCGCUCUGGAACAUUUCUGACGCUGAGGCUCGAAAGCGUGGGGAGCAAACAGG
rnacentral:rRNA from 1 species